AGCGAACGCUGGCGGCAGGCCUAACACAUGCAAGUCGAACGGACCCUUCGGGGUUAGUGGCGGACGGGUGAGUAACACGUGGGAACGUGCCUUUAGGUUCGGAAUAGCUCCUGGAAACGGGUGGUAAUGCCGAAUGUGCCCUUCGGGGGAAAGAUUAUCGCCUUUAGAGCGGCCCGCGUCUGAUUAGCUAGUUGGUGAGGUAACGGCUCACCAAGGCGACGAUCAGUAGCUGGUCUGAGAGGAUGACCAGCCACACUGGGACUGAGACACGGCCCAGACUCCUACGGGAGGCAGCAGUGGGGAAUCUUGCGCAAUGGGCGAAAGCCUGACGCAGCCAUGCCGCGUGAAUGAUGAAGGUCUUAGGAUUGUAAAAUUCUUUCACCGGGGACGAUAAUGACGGUACCCGGAGAAGAAGCCCCGGCUAACUUCGUG
rnacentral:rRNA from 1 species